rnacentral:piRNA from 1 species
UGUUUUACAAAGCAUUACAGGGGU